CAGUCGCCACGGUAAUACGUAGGGUGCAAGCGUUAAUCGGAAUUACUGGGCGUAAAGCGUGCGCAGGCGGUUUGUUAAGACAGAUGUGAAAUCCCCGGGCUUAACCUGGGAACUGCAUUUGUGACUGGCAAGCUAGAGUCUGGCAGAGGGGGAUGGAAUUCCGCGUGUAGCAGUGAAAUGCGUAGAUAUGCGGAGGAACACCGAUGGCGAAGGCAGCCCCCUGGGCCAACACUGACGCUCAUGCACGAAAGCGUGGGGAGCAAACAGGAUUAGAUACCCCUGUAGUCCCUGUCUCUUAUAC
rnacentral:rRNA from 1 species